CCUACGGGCGGCUGCAGUGAGGAAUCUUGGUCAAUGGACGCAAGUCUGAACCAGCCAUGCCGCGUGCAGGAAGACGGCUCUCUGAGUUGUAAACUGCUCUUGUACGCGGGUACACGCAGAUACGCGUAUCUGUCUGAAAGUAUCGUACGAAUAAGGAUCGGCUAACUCCGUGCCAGCAGCCGCGGUAAUACGGAGGAUUCAAGCGUUAUCCGGAUUUAUUGGGUUUAACGGGUGCGUAGGCGGUCGGAUAAGUUAGAGGUGAAAUCCCGAGGCUCAACUUCGGAAUGGCCUCUGAUACUGGUCGGCUAGAGAGUAGUUGCGGUAGGCGGAAUGUAUGGUGUAGCGGUGAAAUGCUUAGAGAUCACGAAGAACUCCGAUGGCGAAGGCAGCUUACUAAACUGCCACUGACAUUGAUGCUCGAAAGUGUGGGUAUCAAACAGGAUUAGAUACCCUUGUAGUC
rnacentral:rRNA from 1 species